CAUGUGUGAAAGUCUACUCUGAGUGAUAGUGCUACAGAGCCAGGUUUUCAGGCAGCGAAGAGCUGAGAAAGACCUUUCCGAGCCAGCAGUAGACACUGGUAAACAGAGGCACAAGUGGAUCAGCUUUUCCACCUCGAAGCCACAGUUGCUGAGUACGAAA